rnacentral:rRNA from 1 species
GCCAGACUCCUACGGGAGGCAGCAGUGGGGGAUAUUGCACAAUGGGGGGAACCCUGAUGCAGCGACGCCGCGUGGGUGAAGGAGCGUUUCGGCGCGUAAAGCCCUAUCGGCAGGGAAGAAGGAGGACGGUACCUGACUAAGAAGCCCCGGCUAACUACGUGCCAGCAGCCUCGGUAAUACGUAGGGGGCAAGCGUUAUCCGGAUUUACUGGGUGUAAAGGGGGCGCAGACGGCAGCGCAAGCCAGGAGCGAAAGCCCGGGGCCCAACCCCGGGACUGCUCUUGGAACUGCGCGGCUGGAGUGCAGGAGGGGCAGGCGGAAUUCCUGGUGUAGCGGUGAAAUGCGUAGAUAUCAGGAGGAACACCGGUGGCGAAGGCGGCCUGCUGGACUGCGACUGACGUUGAGGCCCGAAAGCGUGGGGAGCAAACAGGAUUAGAUACCCCGGUA